UUGUCUCAAAGAUUAAGCCAUGCAUGUCUCAGUACAAGCCAAAUUAAGGUGAAACCGCGAAAGGCUCAUUAAAUCAGUUAUGGUUCCUUAGAUCGUACCCACAUUUACUUGGAUAACUGUGGUAAUUCUAGAGCUAAUACAUGCAAACAGAGCUCCGACCUGAGAAGGAAGGAGCGCUUUUAUUAGAUCAAAACCAAUCGGUGGCGGUUUCCGUCAUCGUACAACUUGGUGACUCUGAAUAACUUUACGCUGAUCGCACGGUCUUGCACCGGCGACGCAUCUUUCAAAUGUCUGCCUUAUCAACUGUCGAUGGUAGGUUCUGCGCCUACCAUGGUUGUAACGGGUAACGGGGAAUCAGGGUUCGAUUCCGGAGAGGGAGCCUGAGAAACGGCUACCACAUCCAAGGAAGGCAGCAGGCGCGCAAAUUACCCACUCCCGGCACGGGGAGGUAGUGACGAAAAAUAACGAUACGGGACUCAUCCGAGGCCCCGUAAUCGGAAUGAGUACACUCUAAACCCUUUAACGAGGAUCAAUUGGAGGGCAAGUCUGGUGCCAGCAGCCGCGGUAAUUCCAGCUCCAAUAGCGUAUAUUAAAGUUGUUGCGGUUAAAAAGCUCGUAGUCGAAUCUGUGUCUCGCGCCGCCGGUUCAUCGUUCGCGGUGUUAACUGGCGUGCCGCGGGACGUCCUGCCGGUGGGCUUAGCUCGCAAGGGCGGCCCAACUCAAUCCCAUCGCGGUGCUCUUCGCUGAGUGUCGAGGUGGGCCGGCACGUUUACUUUGAACAAAUUAGAGUGCUUAAAGCAGGCUAAAACUUCGCCUGAAUACUGUGUGCAUGGAAUAAUGGAAUAGGACCUCGGUUCUAUUUUGUUGGUUUUCGGAACCCCGAGGUAAUGAUUAAUAGGAACGGAUGGGGGCAUUCGUAUUGCGACGUUAGAGGUGAAAUUCUUGGAUCGUCGCAAGACGGACAGAAGCGAAAGCAUUUGCCAAAAACGCUUUCAUUGAUCAAGAACGAAAGUUAGAGGUUCGAAGGCGAUCAGAUACCGCCCUAGUUCUAACCAUAAACGAUGCCAGCUAGCGAUCCGCCGACGUUCCUCCGAUGACUCGGCGGGCAGCUUCCGGGAAACCAAAGCUUUUGGGUUCCGGGGGAAGUAUGGUUGCAAAGCUGAAACUUAAAGGAAUUGACGGAAGGGCACCACCAGGAGUGGAGCCUGCGGCUUAAUU
rnacentral:rRNA from 1 species